rnacentral:rRNA from 1 species
GACGAACGCUGGCGGCGUGCUUAACACAUGCAAGUCGAACGAAGUGGCGAACGGGUGAGUAACGCGUAAUCAACCUGCCCUUCAGAGGGGGACAACAGUUGGAAACGACUGCUAAUACCGCAUACUGAAGGAGGGGAUUGCGUCUGAUUAGCUAGUUGGAGGGGUAACGGCCCACCAAGGCGAUGAUCCGUCGCCGGUCUGGAGAGAUGGACGGCCACCAUGGGACUGGGACACGGCCCAGACUUCUACGGGGAGCAGCCGUGGGGGAACUUCCGAAAUGGACGAAAGUCUGACGGAGCAACGCCGCGGGAGUGAUGACAGCCUUCGGGUUGUAAAGCUCUGUUAAUCGGGACGCGGUACCGGAAUAGAAAGCCACGGCUAACUACGUGCCAGCCGCCGCGGUAAUAC